rnacentral:lncRNA from 1 species
UUGAGUUAUGGUGUUUGGGGCUGUCUUUGUAGGGUUUCGAGGCUGAUUUGAAGUUGCUUUUGGGGUGAAACGAACAGCAUUUUUAGUGAUUUACUGCUGCAUUUUAAAGCUUUUUGGACUGGUUUUUCGCUGGAGUUUGGUGAGGGAUUUGAGAUCGUUUUCACGGCUAUUGUGCUGCAUUUUUCAGCUAGGUUCUGGAGGCUUUUUGGAGGUGGAUUUUGCAACAAUUUUUAGCUAAUUUCAGUAGGUUUUUGGUUCAUAUUUUUGGGUCUUCUCGGGGCUGUUUUGAUGGCGUUUUUUUAGCAGGAAACAGGGGUAGGUUUGGGGUGGUUUGAGAUGAGUUUACAACUACGUUUUCAAUGUUGUUCAGGGCUAUUUUAGGGUGUUAAUGAUGGAGGAAGUUUCACUGCUGGUUUUGUCCAGCUUUCAUAGUAUUUUCAUGAUAGUUUUAGGUUGGAAUUUUUGUGUGCAGGAAGAAGAGGGUUUGUGGAUGCACUUUUAUUUAGAUACUAGUGAUUGCUAUUUCUCUCUUUUCUUUAGGUGCUCUCCUUUUUUAUUGUGCCUCCCU